rnacentral:tRNA from 1 species
GCCUGAGUGGCUCAGUCGGUUGAGCGUCCGACUUCGGCUCAGGUCAUGAUCUCACGGUUUGUGGGUUCGAGCCCCGCGUCGGGCU